CUCACACACCGUUGUUUCUGAGGCUGAGCUAGCAAUGAGAUAAAAGCAGAGUAUAAAUUAACUUUCUUAAAAGCUAGAAAGAAGAAAAUGUCUUUCUUUGACAUUGUGGGAGGAACAAAACACAGAUGUUAGACAUUUUCUGCACUGAAAUAUGUAGUUUUCCCCUUAUUUAUGUAGAAGAAAUUUGCAAGACAAUCUGGACAUCAGAAGAGGAAUAAGGAAACCAAAGUUAAAAGAAACUGUUUCAAGUUUUUGAUAUUAAAAGAGAAAGCUUUCAGGAAAAUCCUGUUGCUCUGAGUUCUGCUACCUGGCUCAGCACUAGGUGUGCCCUACAGACUGAAGUCAGACUGACUAAUGUGAUUCAAGACACUAAGGCACUGAGACAAGUUUCAUCAAGGCA